CGCACGGGUGCGUAACGCGUGGGAAUCUGCCCUUGGGUUCGGAAUAACAGCGGGAAACUGCUGCUAAUACCGGAUAAUGACGUAAGUCCAAAGAUUUAUCGCCCAAGGAUGAGCCCGCGUAGGAUUAGCUAGUUGGUGAGGUAAAGGCUCACCAAGGCGACGAUCCUUAGCUGGUCUGAGAGGAUGAUCAGCCACACUGGGACUGAGACACGGCCCAG
rnacentral:rRNA from 1 species